GUUUGUAAAACUUAAAAUAAACAAUAUUUUCAGCAUAAAAUAAUUAAGUUUGUAAUAUGUACUUGUAUUGCUGAGUUGAUAACUCAUUUUAAUAAGUCUUUCAAAAUUAAAAUAAAGAAUACUGCCUUGACAUAAUUAUAUAUCGAUUUUGAACACACACUUUUACCUUCUCGUAACAACAGAAAAAUAUUAAGUUAGUGAAACUUGGAUAUCUAGUGAGCAUCCUUUAAAUGCUGAGUAAAGGCGGAAUUUGCCCGGACGUGUUUUUCUGCCAGAGAAGGACUACUAGGAGCCGGAGAAACAGGAGAAUCGAGGCUAUAUAGGAUGAUGAGGUGCCACAAAUUUUGACCCAGCCAACGGCAGUAUUAUUAUUGAGGGAACGGAAGUCCUGCAAGACCUGGAUGUAUCCAGAGCCUGUGCCCUGCUAGGGCUGGUAUAUGCUCUCAACCUCAGCUACCCAAAGGAACUAAAAAAUACUUUUGAGGUGUUUCAGAAAAUAAUUCUUGAGCUGGAUGGUCUGAAAGCUAGGCCGAAGGUAAUGUCUUUAAACAAUAAACUGUUGUAUUCCUGAAA